AGAGUGACCUGGUUGAAUAAUGCGUGAAAGUACACGAGCGGCGGACGGCUGAGUAACACGUAGGAACGUACCCCAAACUGAGGGAUAAGCACCAGAAAUGGUGUCUAAUACCGCAUGUGCUCUUCGGAGUAAAGCUACGGCGGUUUGGGAACGGCCUGCGCAUGAUUAGCUUGUUGGUGAGGUAAUAGCUCACCAAGGCGACGAUCAUUAGCUGGUCUGAGAGGAUGAUCAGCCAGACUGGGACUGAGAACGGCCCAGACUCCUACGGGAGGCAGCAGUAGGGAAUUUCCACAAUGGGGGCAACCCUGAUGGAGCAACGCCGCGUGCAGGAUGAAGGCCCUAGGGUCGUAAACUGCUUUUAUCUGUGACGAAUAUGACGGUAGCAGAUGAAUAAGGAUCGGCUAACUCCGUG
rnacentral:rRNA from 1 species